rnacentral:rRNA from 1 species
AUCAACGCUGGCGGCGUGCCUCAGACAUGCAAGUCGAACGCGAAAGUUCCCUUCGGGGAGCGAGUAGAGUGGCGCACGGGUGAGUAACACGUGGAUAAUUUGCCUUCGGGUGGGGAAUAACAACCGGAAACGGUUGCUAAUACCGCAUAAUGCAGCGGCAUCUAUGAUGACAGUUGUUAAAGCGGGGGAUCGCAAGACCUCGCGCCUGAAGAGAAGUCCGCGGCAGAUUAGCUAGUUGGUAGGGUAAUGGCCUACCAAGGCGACGAUCCGUAACUGGUCUGAGAGGACGAUCAGUCACACCGGAACUGAGACACGGUCCGGACUCCUACGGGAGGCAGCAGUGGGGAAUAUUGGACAAUGGGCGAAAGCCUGAUCCAGCAAUGCCGCGUGUGUGAAGAAGGCCUUCGGGUUGUAAAGCACUUUAGGCUGGGAAGAAAAA